UAGGGAAUCUUCCGCAAUGGGCGAAAGCCUGACGGAGCAACGCCGCGUGAGUGAUGAAGGUCUUCGGAUCGUAAAACUCUGUUAUUAGGGAUGAACAAAUGUGUAAGUAACUAUGCACGUCUUGACGGUACCUAAUCAGAAAGCCACGGCUAACUACGUGCCAGCAGCCGCGGUAAUACGUAGGUGGCAAGCGUUAUCCGGAAUUAUUGGGCGUAAAGCGCGCGUAGGCGGUUUUUUAAGUCUGAUGUGAAAGCCCACGGCUCAACCGUGGAGGGUCAUUGGAAACUGGAAAACUUGAGUGCAGAAGAGGAAAGUGGAAUUCCAUGUGUAGCGGUGAAAUGCGCAGAGAUAUGGAGGAACACCAGUGGCGAAGGCGACUUUCUGGUCUGUAACUGACGCUGAUGUGCGAAAGCGUGGGGAUCAAACAGG
rnacentral:rRNA from 2 species